rnacentral:pre_miRNA from 1 species
UGGUAGCGAUGAUGAUGAUGAUGAUGAUGAAGACGAUGGCGUUGGUGGUAAUGAAGAAUAUCAUCCUCAUCACCAUCCUCAUCAUCAUCAUCAUCAUCACCAUCG